rnacentral:lncRNA from 1 species
GCCUUUGGCACUUAUCUUCUUCAAUUACUGUCUAGUUUUAGAUUAGAUUUAAAGAACUGUUAUUAUAUUUUUGUAGCUAGUCGGAAUUUGAUUUUCAUGUCUGUGCUAGCACAAGAAAGUUUUGAAACUAGUUUCAAUAAAGAUUUUUAUUUUAUUUAUUUACAAAAUAAAUUAGUUGUAUGGGAUCUUUUAAUUGAUAGUCUAUAUCACUUGCAUAUUGAUGUGAAUGUAAAUUUAAACGAGCAAAUAGUGAGUGUCGUAGGUCAAAAAAAAUCCAGAGAUGAUAUUAACCAGAAGUACUUGUGACAUCAUAGACUAAGCCAUAUUGGAGAGGACA